CUCUGGCCUGGAUUUAAAAUUUUUACCGGUAUUUUCGAGUACAUGGCGGCACGGAUUCAUUCGUUCGUGCGCUCAGACUGGUUGCUUCUUUUUCGCUAAAACUAGUUUAUUGCGCUUCGAUGUCACGCGUUAUUUAACCUGGGGUGAAGUGACGUGUUUGCAAGCGGACAUGUAAGCCCGAAAGUUGGGUAUCGGUCGUGAGCCAUUCGGAACACGUCUGCAUCGAAACGGGAGCUGGAUUCUGGUGCGGCUGACAACGGUAAUAACGACAUGCAGUAAUGAGGAUGGCACCAGUAUAAAGCAACACACUCCACACACUAAACAGAAGCUGCUGCCUGCUACAACAAGGCCAUUGUGUGGACAUUGGCUGCUACUACAAGAGUCCAUGCCAAGCAUACCUUGGUCAUCACAGGAGCUCCUAUCCACACCAACAGAAAGGGGCUGGACCUGAAUUUGCAAGGCUUUUACACCACGAACAAAGAAGCGCAUGCAGAAGAAUUUACAUGAGAUAUCAAGUCUGCAGAGCACUGUGUCAAGACUGAAAAGAGCUUCAGCCACCAUUCCACCAGCGCGGACAAAUUGCCUUAGUCAUCCAGGUAACUCAAAAAGGACUUUAUGGAAAUUCUUCGUCUUCAGAUGCGCCUGCAACUUCUGAUCAAGCACGGACGACGCUGGCCAAAAGAGUUCCAUCAGUUUGCCCUUAAUCAGCUUCCUGGCCAUGUCAAUUCCAUUUGUGCCAAGUGUAAUUUUUCUUCUAUAAAUGCAAGCUUUUUCAUUGCCCAUUCUCGUUAGACAUCAUUCAUCCUCAUCCAAACAUAAAGGUCAACCGAUUCUUCGCUGAUGCUUAAUACCAGUCACUGUCUAGUAGCAUAACAUAUCUGUAGCAGUACCUUUUAGUGCAUGUUGUCAUGCACAAUUCCUCUCCUGAAAUAGCUGAUGCAACAUCGACAUGUUUCUUGCAUUAACCUACGCACUGUUUGCUAUGCACCAUUUUACUUUUCUUGAUGUUUUUGGCCUUCAUUGCUUGCAGAGCAGGGUGGCUUCUCUCUUGAAUGCAAGCUUUCUCAUUUUCCAUAUUCCUAGUCUCGUUGAUGGUUGCUCUUCUUCCUCGAUAGCCUGGGUCUUUGCGCAAGCUACACUGAAUGAUAGAUUGCAGAAUCUGGUUUUGCUGCCCCACUUGGUUACGGUCGCCGUAUUAUGCUUAUCGGAUGUGGGGGCCUGGUCAGUUGCAUUGGAAAACAGUCUCUCGAGGUAAGCAUUUGCUCCUGCAGUCCGCACAGCGACAUAGACUCCCAAUUUACACACCAUGAUUCGUGCUCCCCGUUCAGCCUUUCCUGCUGCAGCCAUGUGCAAAUUGUGCCUGCGGCCUUUCUCAGUCGCAAUUAAGCGCGAACGGAGACAAGCAUACAUGCUUACAUGGUCCAACGUGUUUGAAGUUCAUAGCCACAUGGGUGGAAAGGCCCGCAUAAAUGGCUGCCGAAGGUGAUGCCCACGAAAGCGACUUGUCCAUAUUGAGACAAAGUGGGACACCAAAUGUGAGCCACACAUUAGUGGCCCUCGACAGAAAAGAAACAUGCAGGUUGGAAAGGAGUUAACGCUAAAAUGCCGGAUAGUCCAUUUCGCUGUGUUGGUUGUGGCAGCAGAUGCCUGCAUCACCUGAUUGCUUCGCAAUGGAAGUUGCUCAUCUUCAACGGCAACUGUCGGUUCAAACAGGUGCGACGCUCUGUCCAAUCUGUUUUUACUGCUGUUUGUCGCUCGUUACGAGACCACCACAUGCGACGAAGGCAAGCAUUAUGCCUGUAAGUAGGCAGCUGAAUGUAUCCUAAGAGACCCGUGUAUGUGAAUGCUCACUGUUGCCAUAUGGUUUGUAGCCAAUGUAUAAUGUAUUCUCUGAACACUAUGUGGUGAAUGAUUGCCGUUUAUUUUUGCUGUUAUCUCACUUGGUUACGGUCGCCGUGUUAUGCUUAUCGGAUGUGGCGGCCUGGUCAGUUGCACUGGAAAGCAGUUUCUCGAAGUAAGCAUUUGCUCCUGCAAUCUGCACAGCGCCAUAGACUCCCAAUUUACACACCGUGAUUCGUGCUCCCCGUUCACGUUCAGCCUUUCCUGCUGCAGCCAUGGGCAAAUUGUGCCUGUUGCCUUUCUCGGCCGCGAUUAAGCACGAACGGAGACCGGCAUACGUGCUUACAUGGUCCGACGUGUGUGAAGUUGGGUGCAAAGGCCCGCAAAAGUGGCUGAUGAAGGUGAUGCCCACGAAAGCGACUUGUCCAUAUUGAGACAAUGUGGGACACCAAGUGCGAGCCACACAUUAGCGGCCCCCGAAAGAAAAGUAACGUGCAGGUUGGAAAGGAGUUAAGGCUAAAAUGCCGGGUAGUCCAUGUCGCUGUGUUGGCUGCGGCAGCAGAUGCCUGGUUCACCCGAUUGUUUCGCAGUGUUAGUUGCUCAUCUUUAACGGCGACUGCCGCUGCAAACAGGCGGGACACUGACCAAUCUGCAUGAGCCGCUGGUUUUCGCUCGUUACUAGACCGCCAUGUGUGACGACGACGGUGAGCCGUUUACGAGCUCGCGUCAAAGAUUCCAGUGUAUCUCGACAUACAAAUUUUAUUUCUACUAUUGCACGAGAAUGUACAUACACUGCUGGUCUUCUGCCAAUAAAGUCGCACGUUCUGUUCACUCACUUGUGGCUUGUUUGUAUGGGCGUCAGUAGAGGCUCUUUGCUCUCCUGGCAAUUAGAACGCACCGGCUA